rnacentral:rRNA from 1 species
GACGAACGCUGGCGGCGUGCUUAACACAUGCAAGUCGAACGGUGAAGCUCCAGCUUGCUGGAGUGGAUCAGUGGCGAACGGGUGAGUAACACGUGAGCAACCUGCCCCUGACUCUGGAAUAAGCGCUGGAAACGGCGUCUAAUACUGGAUACGAGAAGGGUCCGCAUGGGCACUUUCUGGAAAGUUUUUCGGUUGGGGAUGGGCUCGCGGCCUAUCAGCUUGUUGGUGAGGUAAUGGCUCACCAAGGCGACGACGGGUAGCCGGCCUGAAAGGGCGACCGGCCACACGGGGACUGGGACACGGCCCAGACUCCUACGGGAGGCAGCGGUGGGAAUAUUGCACAAUGGGCGAAAGCCUGAUGCAGCGACGCCGCGUGAGGGAUGACGGCCUUCGGGUUGUAAACCUCUUUCAGCAGGGAAGAAGCGAAAGUGACGGUACCUGCAGAAGAAGCACCGGCUAACUACGUG